GGGGGAUAACCAUUGGAAACGAUGGCUAAUACCGCAUAACCUCGCAAGAGCAAAGCAGGGGACCUUCGGGCCUUGCGCUACCGGAUAUGCCCAGGUGGGAUUAGCUAGUUGGUGAGGUAAGGGCUCACCAAGGCGACGAUCCCUAGCUGGUCUGAGAGGAUGAUCAGCCACACUGGAACUGAGACACGGUCCAGACUCCUACGGGAGGCAGCAGUGGGGAAUAUUGCACAAUGGGCGCAAGCCUGAUGCAGCCAUGCCGCGUGUAUGAAGAAGGCCUUCGGGUUGUAAAGUACUUUCA
rnacentral:rRNA from 1 species